rnacentral:tRNA from 1 species
GCGGUCCUUGGCAUGGAGGUGCCGAUGCGGGCGGUGUUCGAGGCGCCGACCGUGGCCGGUCUCCUUGCCCGGAUCGCG